AGUGAACGCUGGCGGUAGGCCUAACACAUGCAAGUCGAACGGCAGCACAGUAAGAGCUUGCUCUUACGGGUGGCGAGUGGCGGACGGGUGAGGAAUACAUCGGAAUCUACUUUUUCGUGGGGGAUAACGUAGGGAAACUUACGCUAAUACCGCAUACGACCUACGGGUGAAAGCAGGGGAUCUUCGGACCUUGCGCGAUUGAAUGAGCCGAUGUCGGAUUAGCUAGUUGGCGGGGUAAAGGCCCACCAAGGCGACGAUCCGUAGCUGGUCUGAGAGGAUGAGAGGCAACAGUGGAAGGGAGACACGGGCCAGACUCAUACGGGAGGCAGCAGUAGGGAAGCUUGCGCAAUGCGCGAGAGCCUGACGGAGCAAAGCCGAGGGAGUGAGGAAGGGCUUCGGAUCGUAAAACCUGGUGAUGAGGGAAGAACAAACGCGCAAGGAACCGUGCACGGCGGGACGGUACCUAAGAAGAAAGCCACGGCGAACUACGUG
rnacentral:rRNA from 1 species